rnacentral:rRNA from 1 species
GAGUUUGAUCUUGGCUCAGAUUGAACGCUGGCGGCAUGCCUUACACAUGCAAGUCGAACGGCAGCACGGGAGCUUGCUCCUGGUGGCGAGUGGCGAACGGGUGAGUAAUGCAUCGGAACGUAUCCUGGAGUGGGGGAUAACGUAGCGAAAGUUACGCUAAUACCGCAUAUUCUGUGAGCAGGAAAGCGGGGGACCUUCGGGCCUCGCGCUCUUGGAGCGGCCGAUGUCGGAUUAGCUAGUUGGUGAGGUAAAGGCUCACCAAGGCGACGAUCCGUAGCAGGUCUGAGAGGAUGAUCUGCCACACUGGAACUGAGACACGGUCCAGACUCCUACGGGAGGCAGCAGUGGGAAUUUUGGACAAUGGGGG